GGCGGGGACUCGCAAGACGCCUCGCGCGAUUUGGAGCGCCGAUAUCAGAUUAGGUAGUUGGUGGGGUAAAGGCUCACCAAGCCAACGAUCUGUAGCUGGUCUGAGAGGACGACCAGCCACACUGGAACUGAGACACGGUCCAGACUCCUACGGGAGGCAGCAGUGGGGAAUUUUUGGACAAUGGACGCAAGUCUGAUCCAGCCAUUCCGCGUGCAGGAUGAAGGCCCUCGGGUUGUAAACUGCUUUUGUACGGAACGAAAAAGUUUCUAUUAAUACUAGGAGCUCAUGACGGUACCGUAAGAAUAAGCACCGGCUAACUACGUG
rnacentral:rRNA from 1 species